rnacentral:misc_RNA from 1 species
UCUGUUAGAUGUUUACUGGUAUUACUCACAAUCUAUAAUAUGUAUAAUUUAUUGUGUGGUACUUUGUUACAUAAUUCUCGUGACAUCUUAUUUUCUCCAGUACUAGUGUAUUACCAUCAAAGAAAUGACAUGAGUUUGUUUCUUGAUGCAGAACGUUUGUGGUGUUUAUGAAUCUCUCCGUUUGGAUGAAAACCGAGUAAACAACCUAUGCACUGAUUUUUAUAUAACGUUUGGGAAAUAUUUGAACUUAUUUGAUCUUUAUUUUUUAAGGUAAAAUACUAAAGAUUUUAGAGAUAAGAUGUUAGCUGUUAGAGAAGCUUUUUGGACACGAGACGACCACUUGAUAUUCCCUCGGCACUUCCUUUUAAGGACUAAAAGGAAAAAAUGCGAGCCAACAAUCAAUCUCGCAUUAGAGUAGACUCUGGAGAAUUCUGAAUUCGUCGUAAGUUUCUUUCUUCACAUAAUUUUUUCUAGUUUUAUCUAUUGUUCCAUGUGUUCAGUUAGACAAUUAGGGUCCUGAUUACUCUGCUUAUAUAUAGUUUACUGCUAACAGCAUUGUUUUGCUUUCAAGAAAGAGGGUUUUUUAUGCAGAGAAACAUAACUUCAAGAAGAGAUUUAUCUGCCAAUGAGAAAAUGAAAGGUCAGAUUUGUUUUUGCAGAAGCUAAAUUUUAACGGAUUAUCCAAAUUAUAUUCAAAUCAUCCAAGGAAUAAUGCGGUUCCAAUAAAAUCAUAAACUCAGCACAAGAACAACAGUUUCAGUGGGAAAAAAGCCUCUCUGCCUUUAUCUGUUUUCUUUUGGACUUUACGAAGGAGAAAGCUUGGAACUAUUAAGUUCCUACACUGAAGAAAGUGGAGAAACGGGCAUGGGUCAUGUUCCCAUAUUCUUGGAACAAGGAAAGUAAUCAUUAGCGUUGACUUUUCGUAUCGCCUACAAAAACUUGGGCUUUUCUAAUUUGUAGGCCCGAGAAAGACAACCUAAUUUUCCACUUACGUGACAUAUAAGUUUACAAGUGAUCUCUAGGGUUUCAUAAAACAGAGGCGAUGAAGAGAGGACACGAAGAGACCUCACUAUCGUCGACACUACGACUUCUUCACUGUGGAGAUAUCCAAUUACCCCUCCAUGUUACGGUUGAAAUACUAAAAAGACUUCCGGUGAAAUCUCUUUUGAGGUUCCUAUGCGUUUCGAAGGUCAUCAACUAUUAGUAGACUUCGAGACUUCAUAGAAUCGAUUGUGAGUCGUUCUUUGGCUCAGCCUCCACGUGAUGCUUAUUUCAUCUACGGCCACACUUCAAACAAUUACAUGGAAUGUUUCUUCUUCUUUGGUUUUUGUACAACGUACGUUAGUGUCGAGAUGUGUAAGGGUUAUUUAUUGUACUAAUUAAUCAAAACGGUCUCGAGACUUAUAAUUAUAGUCAUAAGUUGAUAGUUCAU